UGCCCUGUGCCUGGGUGAGUGAGGUGUGCAAGGUGGGCCUCUGUUCUGCUGCCAGCCCAGCCAAUGAUGGCAAGGACAGAGGGUUCAAAGCUCCGACCCCCAUUGUAAACAGGGGGCAGAGGAGCUGCCCACCUGAGCAGCAUCAGAUCCAUGCAAAGUGCCAGGUGGAGGUAAAACACAGCCAGCGACACGACUGUUGGUAUUUCGGGUCAACUCACCUUGAGCUGGAGGGAGCAGUCAGCCUCCAAGAAGGCACGAUGUGACACAGUCCAGACCCCUUGCCCGCCUCUGCUGGCCUUUCCUCAUCAGCAAAAUGUGGAGAUAACAGCGCCUACCUAAUUGGGAUGCUGUGAGGAUUGAGAGAAUACACAGAAACAGCUUAGAACACUACCUCAAUUGUUCUACACACACCUGAGUUGGCAAGUGUGUGAAGUAACCUCCUCCGAGUCCUGGACUGUGGACAGUGAUGCCACUUUUUGGCACACCUCCCCUAGAAUUUAAGGAGACCAAGACAUUGUGAAAACCAAGUGUCUCCCACCUUGCCAGGACCUAUAAAGUCAAGGGCGGUGCUGGCAUAUUUUGUUCCUGUGACAGGGGCUGAUGAGGUCACUGUGGGAAUCACAGCAAGUCCAAGUCCAUGAGGCUUAGGGAGAAGGCUGUGCAUCACCCUCAUGGGCCGGGAGCUCCAGGAACAGCUUUCCCAGAUUCACGCUGAGGAAGUCCUGAAUCCAGGAAGGAGGUUCCAUGGCCACCUGGCACCAUGUGUCAAUCUCCCAGGUCUGUGAGCACUCUGGUCUCAGCCAGCUGAGGAAGCCUUGGGUCAACAUGAAAAUGCACACCC
rnacentral:lncRNA from 1 species